UUAAAACAAAAGCAGACUAGAAAGAGUGUUGAAUUAAGACAGAUAAAUGAGUCUUCACAAAAGACUUGCUUUUCUUUCAACCCAAUGAGUUAGAGUAAAAAGUGUGUGGAACAUUGCAUAGUGGGUGGUACAUGCAGAAACAAAAUGAAGGACACAGUGGUUUGUUUCAGCCCAUUUUGUAUGACGAGGAUGAUGAGGCAGUACCACCAGGCAAGAGAAAGAGAGCUGGCGAGCUGGCAUAGGCUGCUAGUGCAGAAGAUCAAGAAGUUUAAAGAAUGCUGGCUUUUUAUCUCUGGAAAAACCACAGCUUUGGUGUAUCUUCACUUGUUCAGCCUGACUUCUCUGCCUGGGGGAGACACCUUCUCUUAUGACUUGGCACGGUGUGAGCCCAGCAGAUGGACAGAAGCAGCCAAAAGCCAGUGCUCUAUGUACAUUUAGGGUGUUUGCCAACAGCAGGAUUCUCAAACACGAAUUUUUAACCAGCUGUCCAUCCUAAAAUGAUAACUUUAUCUUUAAACUGAUACAACACUACUAAUUCAGCUUUGGGAUAUUUCUACUUCAAAAAUUAGUAACUGCCAAAGUGUGCAAGGAAAGCUUUCAUUUUGGCUUCGUUUGGGUUUCAUAUGUGUUUUUAUUCUGUGGGGCAUAUGAGCUGCAACAUGGAAAUAUACAUAAGACUUGAGUCUUUGGACACUGUGUCCUGGACAUUUUCUCCUGUUUGAUCCUGUGCAAAUAUCCCUUACUAAACACAGCUGAAACUGCUGGGACAUGUUUGGAAGCCAGGCCAAGUUGAAUGGUGUCAUUUCACCACAAAUAGACAUAUUCAUGCAGCAGACAAAGGCAGUUUAAAUUUCACUGUCCACCGAGGACAUCAACCCCUCCUAACUGUCAUAUUCAACAGGAUCAAGGGGGAUAAAAUGUUAGGAUUAUUCCCAAUUUCCUGAAGAUACUACAAAAAUCUAGCUGCUCCUCCCAAAGUCUUUUUGUCUUUUGAGUCAAAGUAUUGUGUACUGAGCCUGUUUGGUUCUGUCAAGAAGAGCAGGAGUUUUUUAUUCUCUUUAAACAUCUGUGAUAAAUAUUUGAUCUGUGACAUUCUGGUUCUGGGGAAUAUCACCAACAGGGAUGCUAAAAAAAAUAUUUUGAUUGUAAGCAGAGUGCUGCUAAGCAUUUUUGGAAGAAGAGAUGCUUUUCAAAGAAGCACAGUUUCCACAGAAGGUAAUAAUUUAUGUGAUCAGAGGAGCUGUGACUUUUGUGCCCUGUAUUCUCAUCUUCUUGCUUCCAGUGCUUGGUGACACUUGUCCUGUCACCUACUCUCUUCCUACUCUGAUAUAAUCACUUAUGAAAUAUUGCAAUAAUUUUAAUUACCAUUUAAAGGAACUUGUUGAGAAUUAACUCUCAUUUACACAUGCUUUGGGGUUCUAGCUGGAAAAUGCUAGCAGAAUGGUGUACAGUGUUUGAUGAGAGUGAAUUCAUAUUUCUGUUUUCAUGGAAUGUUUGUCAUAACAGUCUAUCCACGAGGACUACUGAGAAGUAUAUUUUAUACCUGUAAUAUAAAUCAUGACUGGGUAAUACUAAGCCUACAGCACAGAAUAUUUCAAUAAAAAUUAAGAACAUUUGAUAACCUGGA
ensembl:lncRNA